rnacentral:rRNA from 1 species
CACGUAGGGGGCAAGCGUUGUCCGGAUUUAUUGGGCGUAAAGAGCUCGUAGGUGGUUCGGUAAGUCGGGUGUUAAACCCCCAGGCUCAACCUGGGGACGCCACUCGAUACUGCUGUGACUAGAGUCCGGUAGGGGAGCGUGGAAUUCCUGGUGUAGCGGUGAAAUGCGCAGAUAUCGGGAGGAACACCUGUGGCGAAAGCGGCUCACUGGACCAUUACUGACGCUGAUGCUCGAAAGCUAGGGGAGCAAACAGG